GGGGUUGUGGCUCAGUGGUAGAGCACUCGCCUAUCAUGUGAGAGGCCCUGGGUUCGAUCCUCAGCACCACA
rnacentral:tRNA from 1 species